rnacentral:tRNA from 1 species
UCCCUGGUGGCUCAGACGGUAAAGAAUCUGCCUGCAAUGCAGGAGACCUGGGUUCAACCCCUGGGUUGGGAA